GAAUGAACCUGUUUAUGAAAAUGUAACGAUGAAUCGUUCCAGACCUCAUCAUACGAGACGUCAAGCUUCUGAUGUUGAGUUGACUGAACCUGUUUAUGAAAAUUUAACACAUGUGAUGAAGAAGCCAUAGUGUUUUGGACAAAUGGCAAAUUAUUUUACAGCUUUGAUCUGUCUCUCUGUGGGUGGAGCUCUGAAUGAUUGACAGGAGUGUCUCGGGUCACAUUUAUUUGUUUAGUAGAUGGUUUUAUCCAAAGUGACUUACAAAUGAUGAACAUAAUUUAACAGUAUUUACUACUGCACAAUGUCAAGUUUAAAGUACAAGCUAAAUCAGUGCUGGAGCUUAAGUGAAAUGCAGUAUAAAUAUUGUCAGUAUAAAUAAGUCUGUCCCAGUGAAGAUGUCAUACUUUGCGUGUUCUUUGCACCACCUGCUGGUGACUACAAGCCAAUGCAACAUUUUUUCUUUUCUUUAAUCAAUGAAAGUGGAUCUGUGAUUUUCAGUGUUAAAUAAAAAUCUUAUAAAGCCAUACAACAGCUUUGUUAUUAGAAG